GGGGGCGGCAGCCAAUGGCUGCGGCGCCUGCGGGACUUUCCCGGCUCCUGCCGCUGAUAGAUCGCCGCGUCGGGGGCAUUUAAACGCCGAGCGCUCCGACGGCGCGGCACGGCACGGCGCGGCACCGCGGGGCAGGGCGACAGCGGCCCCCCGGGGAGGAGGGGGAGGGUGAGGAGAGGGGGGGGAGUCAGGAUGGGCUGUCGCCCCGCCGCCACCGCCACCGGGGACCCGCCCGCCGGCUGAGAGGGGAAGGCAGAGAGACCCGGAGGAAGAGCCCGGCCCGCCGAGCCCACCGGCCGUCCCCUCCAGGCCUUGCCAACAUCCAGGAAUCUGAGCACAAAAGAAACCCGCACAAGCACGUUGCAGCCCAGUUUAGCCCAGUGGCAGAGGAGUUAAAAUGCCGGUGGAGGCUGCUGGCUUUCCGCAGGGACAGGGCUGGAGCAGAGAGAAGGACCAGAAGCAGGGGCCGAGGUUUCGCCGCGGCCGCAGCUCAGCCAAGCUGUUGUUUUAAAAGAGCAAUAAAAAUGAAUUAUGACUAAACGCCUUCUCACUUAAUGGUUUUAGACGGGGAUCCCCAGCCCCGGCAAAUACGUAAGAGGAUUUUUAUUUGUGCAUGUGUUCCUGCAAUUGAUCUCUUUGAUGACAUUCUCAUUCAUAGAAAGAGGUUGAUUUAUGAGUUUCGGAAGGAUUGCGUUCAGCCCUUCCAGCUAUAACCCACGCAUCCCGGCUCCACAACGUGUUGCAGGGCUGGGAGACAACACUCCCCUCGCACGGACGAGCAGCCCAGCCCCACAGACCCCCAGCUCCAGCCCCACUCCCCUCUGCCAUGUCCCCACAAGCUGACACACACUCUCAGGCACCCACACGCACACGGGGAGCCCCGCUCGCACCCGCCGUGGGACCCCCCCCCCGCCCCACGGAGCGGCCGAGCCCCGCUGGCAUCUGUUGCUGGGUUUUUUAGCCCAAAGGAUGGGGCUCGCCCUCUGUUUUUGGGGUCCGGCGACACCGCUAGCCGGGUGGCCGGCAAUUUGGUGGGGGACUUCGGAAAGCCCGUCUUUGCUGCCUCAAUCAGGGGGUGGGGAGGCCCGAGGAAAUCCUAACUUUAAAGUCAGGAGUUUCCUCUUUUCGUUAUCAGCCCUUCGCCUCGCAAGAAGGUUUAAAAGCACAAAAAAAAAUAAAAAUUGAAAUCUUCGGCUGUGCCCCCGCA
rnacentral:lncRNA from 1 species